AGCCAAGUCGUGUCGGCUUCGACGAGACAUUGACGAUAUAACACACAAGCACUUGUUCUUAUACUAUGUAAUCUACCUUCUACCUAUAUUUUGCUUCCUCGAUCCAAUCGAUUCUUCUUCUUGAUUCAUCCUUUCCUCUCUUGAAGCUAGCCCCAACCUUCUUUUUUACUACUUUCUAUUCCCGGGUCCUUCUUGUCUGACUCAAGAACAAGGGGUUUGUGUGGUUUUCUUAUGGCAUUUGCGGCUAUGAAUCAUACCUCCGGAGGAAAUUCCCAUGCAGGGGGAUGCAAUGAUGCUCUGUACAAAGAACUAUGGCAUGCCUGUGCUGGACCUCUUGUCACUCUUCCUCGUGAAGGGGAGCUAGUUUAUUAUUUUCCACAAGGUCACAUGGAACAGCUUGAAGCUUCAACGCAUCAGGGGAUGGAGCCGCAAAUGCCAUUGUUUAAUCUUCCAUCUAAAAUACUGUGUAAAGUAGUUAAUGUUCAGCGCAGGGCUGAACCCGAAACAGAUGAAGUUUAUGCCCAGAUAACACUACUUCCUGAACCAGAUCAAAGCGAGGUUACUAGUCCUGAUCCUCCACUCCCAGAACCUGAAAGAUGCACAGUCCAUUCAUUUUGCAAGACACUUACUGCUUCUGACACAAGCACUCAUGGUGGUUUCUCUGUUCUUCGAAGGCAUGCAGAUGAUUGUCUGCCUCCUUUGGAUAUGUCUCAGCAGCCACCCUGGCAGGAAUUGGUUGCAACUGAUCUGCAUGGCAAUGAAUGGCAUUUUCGACACAUUUUUCGAGGCCAACCAAGGCGUCACUUGCUCACGACAGGUUGGAGUGUCUUUGUUAGCUCCAAAAAGUUAGUUGCGGGUGAUGCAUUCAUCUUCCUCAGAGGAGAAAAUGGUGAGCUUCGUGUGGGAGUAAGGAGGCUGAUGAGGCAACAGAUGAACAUGCCAUCUUCUGUUAUAUCUAGCCAAAGCAUGCAUCUAGGGGUUCUUGCUACUGCUUCUCAUGCCAUUGCAACUGGAACCCUUUUUUCCGUCUUCUAUAAGCCAAGAACAAGUCGAUCUGAGUUCAUUGUAAGUCUUAACAAGUAUCUUGAAGUUCGAAACCACAAGCUUUCUGUAGGGAUGAGGUUUAAGAUGAGAUUUGAGGGCGAGGAAGUUCCUGAACGAAGGUUUAGUGGUACCAUUGUCGGCGUUGGAGAUAAUAUAUCAUCAGGAUGGGCUGAUUCUGAUUGGAGGUCCUUGAAGGUCCAGUGGGAUGAACCCUCAUCCAUCAUGCGUCCAGAGAGGGUAUCACACUGGGAAUUGGAACCGCUUGUUGCAACUACUCCUUCAAACUCCCAACCUGUGCAAAGGAACAAACGGGCACGACCAUACGUCAUACCCUCACCAACUGCAGAUCUUUCUGCACUAGGUAUGUGGAAAUCCCCUGUUGAGUCCUCUGCUUUAUCAUAUGGUGAUUCACAACGCGGACGAGACCUUUAUUCAUCACCCAAUUUCUCUACCACUGCUAAGGUCAAUUCUCUUGGCUUCCGAGGCAAUGGUCAAGUGGCUAGUGUUUCCCAUAACUCAAUGCAUUGGCCUAAUCGAGUGGAAAGUGUCACAGACUCUUUUGCUCCAGUUGUAAACAAAGAUUCUGGGGAAAGGAGACAGGGCACUGGAAUUGGCUACAAACUGUUUGGGAUUCAACUUGUUGAGAAUUCCAACACAGAAGGAACUUCACCAGUCGUUGUGUCUGGAACGGUGGUUGAUGAUCACCCAGUUCUGUCUUUGGAAGCCGAGUCUGAUCAGCAUUCCGAGCCUGAGAAAUCAUGUUUGAGAUCUUCCCAAGAGUUGCAAAGUAGGCAAAUUAGGAGUUGCACAAAGGUUCACAUGCAAGGGGUUGCUGUUGGAAGAGCUGUUGAUUUGACACAGUUUAAACGCUACGAAGAUCUGCUGAGGAAACUAGAGGAAAUGUUUGAUAUUGAAGGUGAGCUCAGUGGAUCCGCAAAGAAAUGGCAGGUUGUCUACACUGAUAAUGAAGAUGACAUGAUGAAGGUUGGGGAUGAUCCAUGGAAUGAAUUCUGUGGCAUGGUGAAGAAGAUUUUCAUCUAUACAUCUGAAGAAGUGAAGAGGCUGUCGCCCAAGAUUAAACUUCUAGCCGAAGAAGAGGUCAAAGGAAUUGGCGACAAUGCUGAUGCAGCUGUUAACACAGAGGACCGCUCAUCCACUAUUGGACCUGGAUGCUGAUACUUCAAUAUGCUUGUGUUUUGCUAUAAAUGGCUGGAAUGGAAAUAUAAAAAGGAAUGAUGAAGAGAGAACUCAGCAGUCAAGGCUUUAUUUAUUGCAGCGUUACAAGGAAUAGCCAGUGCAGUUUCUAGACACGCAGCACUAAAAUUAUGUAGAGACAUCAGGACCAGGAGGAUAUGAUAAAAGCAGUGAAGAAGCUCAAGAAGUUGUGGUCAAGAAAGAAGUAAAGGAAGAAGACCCAUCAGUAUCACGAAUCCUUUUACCACCAUCAACCCUCAUGUCAUUGUUGUUGCUCAUACCCAACUACACCAGCUCAACCCUCAGCUCCAACAACGCCACCGUGGCUCGAGCCUUAACUGACCUAUGAGGCCAUUUCUGCCCAUGGGGCUGGGGUGCAGCCCUUGCCAGAGCUGGCCUAUCCAAGUCAAAUCCGAGUCCCAUCACAAAAAAUCGUUACAGAAGCAAGUCCCGUGUAUCCUACCUACAACAUUGUCAUCGUAUCAGCAAUAUCUAGUUCCAAAUCAUGUUUAUGGGGGGUGCCUGUUGAGCAGAAGCCUAUAAGAGAUAAGUCAGCUAAAUUUUUCGGAUGUGUUGUCAACUUUGGUGCCACCACAACUCGUUGCUUCUGUCCAUGUUUUCGCAUUCGCGAAGCAAGUGAGAUUGUAGUGGCUUGAAAGCCUGUAAAAGAUCCACCAUUCAUUCAAUUUUCUUAGUUUUACUUUGGUCU